GGCGCCUGUGACGUCCCGCCAAGACCUACGCGCACACUCCACCACAGCGCCGCUGCCGCGCCAUGCAGAGAACGUGCCACUCUUUUUAACCAGGUGAGCCCCAUGUUUCCAACCAACAAGACAAACGAAAGAGACUGCAGGCUACACAAGUACUACUAUUGGAUAUCUAGCAGGUGAUGAGCCCCAUGUUUCCAACCAACAAGACAAACGAAAGAGACUGCAGGCUACACAAGUACUACUAUUGGAUAUCUAGCAGAACACAAGAAGAGUCUCAAGGCUGCAGGAGUGCACUUAAACAGCGGGCGAUUUAUAAAUAUAGUUACGAAAAGUAGGUACUUAGUUCGAAAAGCUGCAGAACAAUGUUACGGGCUGUGACUCCAAUCUCAGGCGGUUGGUAAAGAACUUGUGCGGUGGUUUUCUAAUAGAAGGCAACUGAACUUUGGGACUAAAACUAAUUUAAAUAUUACACUUUUCUUAGUGAACAUGAUAAAAAUGACCUUGAUCCAGACAGCCUACGGACUGGGUCAGCUAGUAACUUCUUACCAAUCGCCUCAGUUAGGCCUCUCACUAAAGUCCAAGAAGCAGCGAGCAUGCAGGAGGGACCAAAAGUCAAUGAGUACAUUUUUCACUCGACGACUAUUUAAGGCACAUCACACACUACCUGAACCAGUACCUAAUAGUAAAAUGGCACCUGUCUUUUUGUAUAAUACCGGUUAUUACAUCUACCCGGGGCCCAGGGCACUCUUUGUACAGCAGUUUUCCGUUAUACUUAAUAUCUAAUAAUACAUAACCCUUCGUAUGCCUUUGUUAAACAUUUGCUACUGAUUUAAUAACCUACUGAUAUGACAAGGCAUACGAAAGGUUAAGAGGAAAUAGGACAACCGCUUCUUCAAACAAACGUAAUCCCCAUUUUGCUCUCAGGAUAUUGACAUUAUGGAAAAUUAUUUUUACAUAAUUUAAUUUAUACUUAUUAUUCUUAUUAACUAUUAUUACUUAGCUAUGCCUCUACGUAUGACAUUUUUCGAUUUAUUGGUUAAUAAGUAUAAGAAAAAGAAGCGAAAAACAAGUCCCCUAGGUAUUUUUUUAAAUGUUCCUAACACUUUUUUAAUAACAAAAUUUUUUUACACUUAAAAUACGUGAGUGACCCGUUUUUAAUAUAUUUAAUAUGUUCCUAAUACUUAUUAGGAACUAUAGGGGGCAGCACAGGAGCCGUCGCUAUAAAAAAAUAAAAAUAAUAACAAACAAAAAGUUCACCCUAGGUGGGAUGCGAACCCGGGGUCACAAUGCGUGUACACUUUAUGAAACCAUGCAUAAGGUCCAUCGAUGGAUAGUUAAGAGUAUUGCUGUUUGUACCUAAGCCGGUUUUCUGAAAGGAAAAACUCAGCGCAAAAAGUAAAAAAAAAAACGAAAAAGUUCACCGAUGGCGGGAAUAGAACCCAAGUCUCAAGCGAACACUUUGUCCUAAGUCAAACAUACCUAAGCUGCUUGCUAGAUUCAGACCAGACAUGCAAGUGUUAUAUUUUAAAUGUCCAACAGCUAUGAAAUUAUGAUUUUAAAAUAACACUUUGCAAGUCUUUGCUUUGAAAAACACUGCAGCGUUACCUUGGUCUUACUCUGCCACCCUAGUUAGUAAGCAUGCUAAAAGCAGUUUUUCGGAAUUAUUUGUCGAUUAAUGUCUAUAAGGAAAAAUUACGAAUUAUAAUAAUGUAAAAAAAAACCGCCCAAGUGCAUGUUAGUAUCGUGCACGAAGGGACUCCGUUACUCAAAAAAGGGAAAAAAUGACGUUUGUUGUAUGGGAGCCCCAUUUAAAUAUUUAUUAUAAUGUGUUUUUAGUAUUUGUUGUUAUAGCGGCAACAGAAAUACAUCAUCUGUGAAAAUUUCAACUGCCUAGCUAUCACGGUUCAUGAGGUACAGCCUGGUGACAGACAGACGAACAGACAGUCUCAGAUAACGGUUAAGUAUACUAUUCAGUUAUAUAUUACUGUGACAGAGACAUUGGGCGUUUCGUUCGCUACGGAGUGUGAACGAUUUGCAACUUGGCUAUGCACCCAGCUACCUCGCACAUCUCUGGUGGAAACGCAGCCUAAACCUGAGAUGUUAAGACAUCGCCUUGGUUACAUUUAUUUCGAAAAUACAAUUCGCGAUAUCUUUUUUUCGGUACCUACUAUUCUCAUUUAGACUUUUAGUUUCAUUUUUGUACUUCGUUAUUGAUACUUUUAGUUUUUUAAAUUUCUUGACAAUAAUAGGUAUUUAGACAUUUUAGACGUUAUUAUUUUAAGUCAUUUUUCCUUACGACAUUAGUCGCCUGAUUCGUUUUCCGUUCCACAUAAUAUCAGGACACCGUUAUGUCCGUUACCAAUAUACUUUUUAAGAGGAAAGACGACGAAAAAAUAUUAAGUAUUGAAUAUUAUCGGCAAUUCAAGGCAAAUAUUUUUUUUUAUUUUUAAAAUAUUGUUAAGAAUCUUCUGAUAUUUUGUAAACGAAAAAAAUAACGGAAAAAAAAUAACAAACAAAAAGUUCACCCUAGGGAUUCGAACCCGGGGUCACAAUGCGUGUACACUUUAUGAAACCAUGGUUUCAACCUUAUUACAAAAAGCAUAAGGUCCACAGUUGGAUAGUUAAGAGUAUUGCUGUUUGUACCUAAGCCGAUACUGCUACCGGCAGACAGGUAGAAUAACGUUUUUCGAUUUUGUGAUUUUGGCUGUAGUAGACCCUCAGAUAUCAUUCGCGCGCCAAAAGGCUAGGUGUAAAUUACAUUACGACUAUUACGAGUAAUAAAAGCCCGAUAUAAGUCGGUCAUAAAAAAAAUUGUUUAUUUCCGAAAAACAUUUCUUGGAUACAGUUAUAACAAAGCAUACUAAAGCAAUUCACAUGUACCUUGCUUAUUGUGUACCUACUUAACUGACGGAAGGGGCGCAGCUAUAAGUUAGUUAUCGACAGUGAUAUCAGCAUUUCACUUCUACUCUACGUACCUAUUGUUUACGUACCUAUUAAGCGACGGGCGAUACGUAUUAAUAUGUGAAACUAGACGAGUUUAUUUUCGAAUAGAGAUAGAAAUAAAUCUAAUUAUUUUACUACAAAUAGGUGUACCUAAGUAUAGUUUGUCAAAAGACAUACUGUAUAUUAACAUGAAAGGUAUUGAAAUCUGUAAUUAUAUAGUUUGGUAAACAAGUAAUUGUCAGUAAAAAACUGUUACGGAAAAGAGAGUACUGAGCUAUAACCGCGAAAAUCAAAGGUUCGCAAAUUGUGGGGAUCUUUCUCUUUUACUCCAAUGAAGGCAUAAUUCUUCAUUGCAGUAAAAGAGAAAGAUCCCCGCAAUUUGCAAAUUUCGGUUUUUGCGAUAGCCUCUCUGUUCUUUCUGCUUACCUAUUACAAUUCGCAAGUUGUUGUGUAAAAUGCUCCACUGACAAACGACUCUUCCCAAACUAUAGAUUACAGGUAAACCUACCUGGUAGGUAGGGUUUACCUAGUUUAUUUAAAGUUAGCAAAUAUCUACCUAAGUUAACAAUGUAACGAUAGGUAUAUGGUCUGGCAAACCAAAUUUGUUAGUAGAAAAGGCGGCAAAUUGAAAAAAAAAUGGCGGGAAUAUUCUAUCAUCUCCCAUAUGAAAUUUGAAUUUUGCACCUAAAUGCUUGGUUUGCCAGGCGAUAUUAGAUAUGUACUUACCUGUAUUUGGUUACAUGUGGCCACUACAAGUGUAUAAGUGGGUGAAUCAACCUGUUUUCCCACUCAUUGCCAUAGUUAUGGUUUUCUGAACUACAAAACAAUAGGUACUCAUUCCUUUCUUUUGGGUGCUAGUAUUAGCGUAACACUACAAAGACUCUUUCUGAAAGAUUAUUUGCCUAAAGUGUCAUUCUAUGGAACUUGCUAACUACUUAUGUAAACAAAAGUCGGAAGGAAGUUCAUCAUUCAGAGACAAUUUCAAUGUUUACGUAGUUGUAUGUUUACAUAGUUAGCAAGUUCCAUAGAAUGACACUUUAUGUUUGAUAUGAGACAGUCCCUGGACACAAUAGGGCUUAUUACACUUAUUCUGCCUUCAGACGGCUGACGAUUGCCCCGAUAUCGGGCAAGAAUCGUUUUCCGUUUCAUGUGGUUUCAUGAAAUAUUGUCACAUAGUUCACAAUAUUUCUUGGUGUAAAAAAUAGUUCAACUACAAAAGUAUCAACCAUGUUUGCCAAUUCGAGACAAAGUAUUUGUUACAAUUGAAAUAUUAAAAAUUGAAAUAUUGUUGACGAUGUCCUUAUAUUUCGUGAAACGCAAAACGAUCUUGCUCGGGCGCACCGUCGGCCACGAUCGCAUUAAGGCCCGACGGUGUGGAAGUGUAAUAAGCGCUUAUAAUGUACAUAACGUCAAGGAAUAGUUGACUCACCCAUUUUUUUAGUAGUUGUGACGUGGCUUCGCCAGUCUCCUUUGUGUCUUUUGAGAGUGUGUGGUACAUGUAUGGUAACGAAUAUUGUCAGCUAGAGGUCGGUUCUGUAACUUCCAACAACUUCUGUAAACAGGAUUGUCGUCCGUACAAACAUAGCUAACGUAAUGUUACAUUUUAAGUAAAAAUUAAGGAUGACUCACGCUAGACCGGGCGGGAUCCGAGCCGAGGCGUUCGACACGUCAUUUUCUAUGACGGCUGAUCGGUGUUCACGUGGUGCUUUCCAUAUAAAACGAAGCGCUGGUACUCCGGCUCGGUCUCAGCCCUGUCUCAUAGCGUGAGUCAUCCUUUAUGGUGAUCUCCUUAUUAGAAAUAUAAGGACUAAAUAUAUCCUGUCACAAGUGUAACAGGAUAAUUUCUGCUGAGAGGGACAGCUCUUGUUAGCAGAAAGUAUCCGGUAGCAGAAAAGGUAUAAUCGAGAUGAUUCCUCCGACGAUCUCACUCCUCACAUUUUUUUUAGACAGAAUAGCAUAAUAAAUAGCUAGUAUUUAUUUGUGACUAUAUCCUAGAGCCUCAGCGCCCGUUUUUGUACCCGUUUACUAUCUGUGAAUUAUGUAGAAUAUUGUAAAAUAUAGUUAGUAGGCAAUAUAAAUUGUGACUACCUGAUAGUUAUAUGUUUUUUUUUUAUAAUCAGGCAGACCACUAAGCUUAUACUGUUUAACUUAGGUAUUUUUAGACACUCGCGCGACUUGUAGGUACCUAUACAAACACCACCACCAGACCAGUACAAACGGCAAAUAUCAAUUUACGCUUUUCCUACUGACAUAUUGGUUUGCCACUUACAAUUAUAAUGUACCUACCUGAAAUAUGCUUACAGUCCCUUUUUUUAGCAUUAGAAAGAACUUCGCAGAAGUAAGCUUGUGGUCCAAAUCCGGCACUUUUAGCGGUAAUAAUUUGAAGUAAAUUAUAUGUAUUGACCAUGCUUCAUUAGAUAAUUCAAUAAUUAUUAACAAUUAAAGACCCUGAUAAAAACUGCACGCUUGCUUCUGUGGAGUUCUUUCUAAUGCUAAAAAAACGAACUAUAGGUAUCGAUUGCAAUGUAUUAUUAGUUACUGCAAUAAAGAAUUUGUAUUUCCAGUUCGAUUGUCAAAGGCUCCAUUAGUAAGUACCUAGGUGAUCAUAGGUCCUAGAUCCGGAUCAUCCGGGGGCUUACGAGAACUUGCUUACUCGUCGAGAUAUGACGAGUAUAUUGUAUUUUAAAUUGUUAAAAGAUUUUUAUAGUACUUUUUGUUGUGUUGCUGUAACUUUGUUAGUGGAUUUGUUUAAAAUUACUGUUAAAUGUUAUAAAAUUUGGUAAAUAAAGUAAUUUAACCAUUUUAAAA